rnacentral:rRNA from 1 species
GGACUACUCGGGUUUCUAAUCCCGUUUGCUCCCCUGGCUUUCGCGCCUCAGCGUCAGCAGAGGUCCAGCACGUCGCUUUCGCCACCGGCGUUCCUUCCGAUAUCUACGCAUUUCACCGCUCCACCGGAAGUUCCACAUGCCCCUACCUCCCUCAAGACCAUCAGUAUCCAUGGCACGGCCCCAGUUAAGCUGGGGGAUUUCACCACGGACUGGAUGACCCGCCUACGCGCCCUUUAAGCCCAGUGAUUCCGAACAACGUUCGCACGGUUCGUCUUACCGCGGCGGCUGGCAC